rnacentral:rRNA from 1 species
AUUGAACGCUGGCGGCGUGCUUAACACAUGCAAGUCGAUCGGUAACAGGUGUAGCAAUACAUGCUGACGAGAGGCGGACGGGUGAGUAAUGCUUGGGAAUCUGCCUAUUAGUGGGGGACAACCCGGGGAAACUCGGGCUAAUACCGCAUACGCUCUACGGAGGAAAGCCGGGGACCGCAAGGCCUGGCGCUAAUAGAUGAGCCCAAGUCGGAUUAGCUAGUUGGUAGGGAACGGCCUACCAAGCGACAAUCCGUAGCUGGUCUGAGAGGACGACCAGCCACACCGGAACUGAGACACGGUCCGGACUCCUACGGGAGGCAGCAUGGGGAAUAUUGGACAAUGGGGCAACCCUGAUCCAGCGACGCCGCGUGGGUGAAGAAGGCCUG